UUGAGGGAGGAAGAGCGGUCCUGUAUGGAGAUUUAAGAGUCUUGUUAGGUAGCCAAGGAUGACUUGCCUAUAUCCAAAAAGGAUUUUGAGGAAAGAAAAGCUGAAUCUCAUAAAUCUCAUCAGAGUCCUUUUAAUGGUUUCUGGGCAGUCUCCUUUGGCUAUCCUGACUGGCUCUUAUCUUUCAUGCUUGACCUACAUCUCUUCCAUGCAUAAAAAAAAAUCAAUGCAAUUUCCUACAAGUUCCCAAAUAUGUGUUAUCUAAAAGCAUGAACCAUGCUCCGUCAGGCAUAAUAAGUACUGAGUUUGAGCUUCAAAUUCUGCUUAGAGCACUUAUUUAUUCGUUCUUUGAGGUGAAUUGGGUGACGGAUAUAUAGGUAGCAUAUUCAAAUCACAGUCUUCCAUUGGGUAUGUAUCUUUGCUGAUUGAAUUCCCAGAGGACAAAUUUGAACUGGUAAAUUCUUAUCGGAACUUAAUCUGUUGAAUAUGUCUAAUCGUGUCGAAUCACGGUGACCCAAAUUUCAGGCACAGAGGUUAUUGACAAAUCAUGGGCUUCAGGUUUCUGUCAUCUCCAUUGUUGUUCUGUUGGCCUACCUAGUUGCUUCACCACCUUCAAAACCAGUCGCUGCCAACCCCCUAGGGAAGCAAGAACCAGAUUUCACCUUGGGGACUGAAUGGGCCCAUUUGUUUUCCAAAGCAGGGCGUCUGCUUUUUCGUAGAGUUGCUCUUGAGCUUGGGACUAGACCUUUCAAAUUUGUUUCACUUAAGGUUUAAUCAGAAUAUUUGAUGU